UACCGGACAGGGUAUGGGGAUGGCCCGUUAGUUGAAAAUGUUCAAAAAGAGUUCAAACGUAGUGGGGACAUCUUUAUGGGCUCCCAUGGAUACCAGUAGGCUGAUGAAUGAGAAAGUUAUUAUUCCGACUGAUUGAAUAUGAAAUUAUGAUAUUGUUUAUGUUAUUGACUCUAUAGGUCGGUUUUGAAAAUCUCGUUACGGUAAGCAUGCGAUAA
rnacentral:lncRNA from 1 species